rnacentral:rRNA from 1 species
CAGCCGCCGCGGUAAUGCGGAGGGGGCUAGCGUUGUUCGGAUUUACUGGGCGUAAAGCGCACGUAGGCGGAUCCUUAAGUCAGAGGUGAAAUCCCAAGGCUCAACCUUGGAACUGCCUUUGAUACUGGGGAUCUCGAGUUCGGGAGAGGUGAGUGGAACUGCGAGUGUAGAGGUGAAAUUCGUAGAUAUUCGCAAGAACACCAGUGGCGAAGGCGGCUCACUGGCCCGAUACUGACGCUGAGGUGCGAAAGCGUGGGGAGCAAACAGGAUUAGAUACCCGCGUAGUCCCUGUCUCUUAUAC